ACAAUAAUAAACAUUCAGUAAGGACGAUGAAAGCACAGUCAACACCCUCACCUUCUGGUCGUUACUCAGUCUUUGCCUCCGACCACGCCAUAUGAAACCUGCCCACCAGCCCCUCCCUCCAGCCUCUACCGAUCUCUGGAAUGUGUCAAAUUCCAGCGUUUUUGAUCAUUUGCUUCUUACGGCUUCCUGCAGUGUGCCUGUAGCACCUUAAGUGGAAUCCCUCGGGAGACUGUUUCUCCAUGAUGUACACCAGGUGCCUGAGGUGGUCAGUGUCCGGCCCAACAGAUGUGCAGGCUGGCUGGACUCCUAGAACUCAUACCAGACAGUGACAGAAGCCUGCCUGCCCUCCCUACCCAUAGGGAGGACUUUCAACAUAGCAGUCACCCCGACUGGCAUGUGUGAGCUCUACUACACACCCCAGCAUGUGAGGAGACCAUAUCUCAACUCUCCUUCCCUGAGAUAAAUGCGGAACAGACACCUUAUCUCUCUCUAUUUCACUGCCUCCCUUGCCCCCCCCUUUCUGGGAACAGUCCCCCAAGAGGGACAAUCAAAUCAUUUCACCGCUUGUCAGAACGCACCAACCUCCUUCUCUGCCAUCAGUGCAAAGCAACAGAGUGCUGGGACACAAGCCCCCCUGUGAGUCGGUGCCACCCCUCUGCGGCUCAAAGGAGCUGCCUACCACAUGGCAACCAAAUCCCAGCCACCUCCAAGGACAAGGUUUACAGUGGGAUCUGGGCCUCCCUGGGCCGAGAGCUGGUCUCUGAGAGCUCACUGCACUUAACCAGAUGGUGGGAUACCUGAGCUCAUGCUCCUAUCUCCGGGCUCCUCAGAGUUCAGCCAUGGGAGGCUCCCCGUGAACACACGGUCCCCGGCUUCACCUCUGUCUCUGACUCAGCAGGGCCUGAGCAGGCUCUACUCCCAGCUGGUUUUGGUGCAGCUGGACCUCUAUCCACACUCUGAGCAUCAUCGUGGGGAGCAAGUGGAGUCCUGAGUGUGUGAUGUUUGAUACAGGCACAGCAGUGUCAAGGACCCCAAUGCCUUAGACCAGCCUUCCCUGGAUGAGGCUCAGGGGGGUGGCAAAGCCUUCCUCUGGUCCACGUGUGGUGUGUACAGAAGACACCCACCAUCGCUAUCUCCCUCCCAACACUCCCACCCCUGUGUACAGACUGCUCCCCCACAGAGACUAAACCUACAGAGAUCAACUAAAGCUGCCUUUUUGUUCAGCUGCCUGCAUAUGAUAUACAGUGUGAUAUACUACCCAUAUAAUAACCCUGCCUUCUUAAUUAUCUGUAUGCAACAGCCCCACCUCCCUGUUCAACUCUAUAAUAAACAAGCUCAGCUUCCAGGUGAUGCAGCAUCUCCAUCAGGGAGCCCAGACCAUCCGAUCCCAGCUCCUCUGCACUGGAUGUUCUGAGCAGGUGACAGCUCCCACCUAGUAAGGCCUUCCUGUGACACAGGAACUGAUUCCCAGGGACUCCCACAGAAAGGUUCAACCAUUUUCCCACAGCUCCAAAGCUAGGAGGUGACAGAGUAAGAUUCCAGCCCAGUCCCACUUCUCCGUCAUCUGUAACAACCAUGCCUGACCCACAGGUGUGGCCUGGCCCCUCAUGGCCACCCUGGACCUGGACACAUUUGCAGUGGCUCCAUAUCCCCAGGUGUCCCCUCUUCCCCGCCUUCCCUGCUCCAACACAACUCACUGCCAAGAAGAUCACAGUCUCUUUUUGUUUUCUAAUUUCACAGAGAGUACAUCACCAUUUGCCUGUCUCUGCAGGUACAAUCCAGGGAAAUUGUGUACAAUCAUAUGGUUACACUGCUGUCGCCCCUGACCAUCACCAAAACUUUCCCAUCUUCCUCAACUAGCACUGUGCUUAAUAAACCAUAGCUCCAAAUUGUCCCCUCUACCCAACGCCUUGGCAACACUCUACUCCUCGGCACUUGGUUACUCUAGGCAUCUUGUAUGAGGGGAUCACCUAGCAUGUGUCCUAUCUGGGACAGGCUGAGUUCACUUAGCUUAACGUCCUCCAGCUUCACCCAAACUGGAGCAUUGGUUACAAUCUUCUUCAUUUUAAUUAAUCUUCUAAUAUUCCAUUGUUUAUACACACCGUAUUUUGUUAUUACAUUCAUCUAUUAACAGAAACUUAGGCUAUUUUCACCUUUGAUUAUUGGGAAUAAUGCUGUUGUAAACAUGGGUGUGAAAAUAUCCCUCUAAGUCACCGCUGUCCAUAUUUUUGACUGUGUAUCCAGAAGUUGGAUCAUUUCUGGGUCUACAGACAUUCCCUGGUCAAUGUUUUGGGGAACUGCCUUACUGUUUCCACAGCUAAUAUACUAACAAAAACGGGGUAAGCAGUCC